AUGAUGAUUAUUCCCCACCUUCUAAGAGACAAAGACCAACGCGCCACCACAGCCACCAGUCCCAGAACCCGCCAAUGCUGGGGAACGGAAAAUGAGGGAGUUCAACUCUGGCCCUUACAAUCCAGUGGAGGAGACGAAACUCAUCUGCCUCUGUCCCUCUGGGUACGCCUCAUGCCAGGUGCAUCUGUGGACAGGGGCCAUGCUCCUGGGCUUCCAAAGUUGGAGAAAGCUGCCAGGCUGAGGUCUGAAGGCCACAAUUCUACAGCAAGUCCUGCGAGUCAAGCUGGGAGCAGGCUCGGUGGCUUCCGAGGCUCUGCGGGAGAAUCCGUUUCCUGGCCGUGGAGGUGGCCUGCACUCCUCAGCUUGUGCUGCCCGUCUCGAAUGACUGGAGUUUCCUGCUUCUGUCACUACACCUCCCACCCUCUCCAUCACCUGCUCUGCUCUUAUAAGGAUCCGGAGAAAUGGAAUAAUCGUAUCGCUGAUCUACGUAAACAAAUUGAAGAAUUGUCUGAAAGAAAAUAUGACAUGAACUUAGGAAUUCAACAGGUGAAGAUUUACAACUUGAUAAAUCAGCUUCGUGAGCUCAAGCUGUAAAAGCCAAAGGUCUGGUGAUGAUCCCAUACCCUUUUUUCCAGUCUCAUAUUGAAGAUUUUUAUGUAGAAGGCCUUCCCAAAGGAAUUUUUUUUUUUUUUUUUUUUUUUUGAGAUGGACUUUUCACUCUUAUCGCCGCCCAGGCUGGGGUGCAAUGGCGCAACCUUGCUGGUCACUGCAACCUCUGCCUCCUGGGUUCAAGAAAUUCUCCUGCCUUAGCCUCCCAGGUCGCUGGGAUUACAGGUGCCCCCCACCACACCAGGCUAAUUUUUGUAUUUUUAGUGGAGAUGGGGUUUCACCAUGUUGGCCAUCCCAGAGUGCUGAGAUUACAGACGUGAACCCAUGCCUGGCCAGGAAUUUUGUUUUUUAGGAAGGCUUUCUACUAAUGGAAUUCCUGGCCUUCAGAGGAUAUUACUUUUGAAGGAAAGGAUUUUUUUGUUAUUAAAAG
rnacentral:lncRNA from 1 species